UAUUGAACGAAUAUACUAAAACGCAAUAAAUGACCCAAAAUUGUUAUUCAGCUAACAAAAUGAUUUGUGUGAUAUUAUUAAUCAAAUUCCGAUUAUAUUUCUUUUUAUAUAAGUCUUAUCUAAAUAUGGAAUAUAAAAAGAUAAAAAUGGAAUAUUUUUAGCUUAAUUAAAAUAUAUGGAGGUCGUUUUAAUGUCAAUCGGUUUUUUUUUAGUUUAAUUUCCAUAUUAAAUAAGUUAUUUAGUUUAAAGUAAACAGAUGUUCACGACGCAUUUUAAAAUUAACUUUCUAUUAUUGUUCAUCUUAUCAUUAUCUUAUCAAAACAUAAUUUUAUUUUAUUUCAGCUAAAAAUAUUUUCCCUUCAACUAAUCCAGAAAAAACUCAUUUUUUCCGCCGGUCAUAUGAUUCAACUUGAUUAUACACUUUUGUAUGGGAUUAUAACUGCAACAACAACUUACAUGGUAAUAUUAAUACAGUUUGAUUUAGCAAAGCUAGGGGAACCAAAAUGUAUUACUUCAACUUUCACCAAUUCAUCAGAAUAAAUUGUAAUUAGGAAAUAAUGUAGUAUUUAAUAAAUAAAAUACAUUCACUUUGGAA